CCCCUGCCCACAUGUACUGCCCAAAAUUUAGCAUAAAGGAAAGGGAGAUCUCAGUGUUGGUUGGAGCUCAGCCGUGGGAUAGAGUGCGCAUCGCCCGCCACUUUCUCGGGAUUGACGUGUUGGUCUCCUGCCAGGACUGAAAGGGGCUCCCAAGUCUAAGAGUGAGGGAGUGCAAGCAGUAGAAAAGUAGUGAGGAGCCUUGAGAAAUCUUCUGAGUUGCAAUCGUAACCGUCGCGGAUGGGCUACGCGUAAAACAACUGUUUCGCGCGCACAUUACAAAACUAUGAUGCGGAUAUAAAGCAACUUCUUUCUGCGUACGAAAACGUAAAAUGAGCUAUGGCUUACAUUAUUGUCUAUAUUUAUUCUUCUUUAGCACAAACAUACGUAAUUAUGAAGUAAAAGUCUUACAAUAUGGCUAAUCUAUGCAUCGGUGAUUUUUAUAUAUAAUUAAUCAAUUAAAUGAGCUUGUGGUGAAAUCUAACAAAUACAUUAAAUGGCUGAGGUGCCCCUGAUGAGAGGUUUAGGAACCAAAAUGGUAUUCAUCUAGCCAUCCAGCAAGGUAUCAGUAACCAUUUGAAGAACAUAAGAAAUUCCAAAACCAAAACCAGCCAAAACCAACUACAAUGAAAAGGAAAUCAAUUUUACAAUUCAAAGAGUGGUUAUAAAAAUAAAUCCUUUAAAAAUUAAAUAUGUUCGCUGUUCGAUAUAAAGAAAUUUAAUAAGUGAGCUGAUUAGAAAUGAUUCUGGCUUUGACAGGCAAGCAUCAGGUGUGAAAGUUAUUAAGUUUUAAAAUAAUUAUUUGAAUUUAAUCCUUUUGUAGUAGUUUACAAGUACGCAAUUAAUAUUCCCUGAACUCAUUCAAUUAGAAUUUUCUGAAUUAAUCAAAGAAGAAUACUUACAGUCAGAGGGAUAAUCAAGACAGCCAAAAGAAUGCUCCUGUUAUAACAAUGCAUACCACGAUAAUUCAUAUUUUCUGAACUUUUAGGUUCGUUAAAAUUUAGCUGCACAUGGAACAAACCUACAGCACAUCAAGACGGCACAACAGGCUCAAUAUAAUAGAAUCCUGUCGUGCAAUGUAACUGCACUGUGUAAACAGACUACGUCAUUCAGGAGUGCGAGCAGUAGAAAAGUAGUGAGGAGCCUUGAGGAAUCUUCUGAGUUGCAAUCGUAACCGUCGCGGAUGGGCUACGCGUAAAACAACUGUUUCGCGCGCACAUUACAAAACUAUGAUGCGGCGAUAAAGCAACUUCUUUCUGCGUACGAAAACGUAAAAUGAGCUAUGGCUUACAUUAUUGUCUAUAUUUAUUCUUCUUUAGCACAAACAUACGUAAUUAUGAAGUAAAAACACCUUGCGACGUAUUUCGGUUCCUCGCGUCUGCUUGAGCUGAUGAUGAGAUUCCCGCCAGUGAACGUUUUCCUUUAUGGUUAUGCUUAUAAGUUUAUGCACCCUAAUUAAUGUGUGUUAUUGCCAUCUGCAUAAAUGCAGAGCGUAAAAUGAGGAUUUCAAGUUAACAUUACUCUGCUUUGCUUUGUUCUUAAAUGUAAGAACUACUCAUUUGUAAACUGAACCCAGUACAUGAAGUAAAUUAAGGACAUACAAUUUGUACAGAUACAUCAUGUUUACAAAUAUGGAUUAAGUAAGCAACCUAAAAAAGUUAGUAAUUAUGAUAGCUUAUUUUGUGCAAGUAAAUAUAAAUGAGAUAUUUUUCGUUAUAUUUACAAAGCCUCAAAAUUAUUUUUUUUUCCCUCCACCAUCCCCCCUCUGCGGAGGACUACUUUAUUUCUAUUUAUUUAUUUAUUUAUUUAUUUUUAUUUCCUCUAGAGAGUGAGAGGAAGAGAGAGGGGGAAAGAAGGACGAAAAUGGAGAAGAAGGGAAAGAGAGAGAGAGGGAGGGAAAAGAGGAAAAAAGAAAAAACAGAUAAUCUGCUUCAAUACCUGCUGAUGAGAGAAAACAACCAACAUCUGUACGAAUCACAAUGAACAUGUUAAGAAGCAACAGCCGAUUAAGACAGUGUGUGUUUGUGAGUACCAGUUUGUACACCUGUGUGUAGAUCAAGUCUUGGAGUCCUGUAGCUUCACAAAGCUCCACUAGACACAAACUUUGUUAGUAAAUUUAGUUCCUCCAUUCUGGAUCCUGCUUCUUGUAUUUGUCCGUUUGUAUGGGUUCAUGUCUCAUCCUCCUAGAUCUUUCACUUUGGUAGAGGAAGAAAGAUAGGAGAUGUGCUCCUGCUGUGGCUCAUUGAGGGCAGAUGAAAGACAGGAAGAGGUUUACCUCGUUCUCGAUCACUAUGGAAGUUGGAUGAAUGUCUUCAGGGGAGUAGUGGCAGGAUGUCAUCUGCCAGGUAUCUAUCAGGACAACAGGCAGCCCCUGGAACAUGGCCCUGAGAGUACAGUCCAGCUGCCAGGAGAGCCAGUCACUGCCAUAGACGUCCUUAUAGCCUGUGUUGGCC